UACGGGGGGAGGGCAUUGAGGGCUCGGGGGUUGGGGGGGUGAACCAAAUAGCAAGGGCUGAUUAGUGGGUUAUUCGGGAUCCAUUGAUGGGGUCAUUUGGGGAUAAUUUUUUAAUCAAAGGGACCAUCCUGCCUCUGUCGCGUUCUCUAGAGAGGUGGCUACUGGCUAUUCCCAGCGUAUCAACUUUUGAGUAAGUCCCCCCCUUUUUUUCACCUGUGUGCAAGGGUUAGGGUUUUUUAGUACCUGGCAAAGCCAAGGCCGGGGUGGAUACCCGAGCUGCGGCCUCUGACCGCCUAGAUUAGACCUCGGUCCUUUCCCUUUAGGUGCUGAACUUUGGAUGCCUUUAGGUCCGGGGUCGGGUACCGUGCCAUCGCCCCAAUCCUCCAGCUGGACGGUUGUGUCUCACCCUGGCUGAGGGAUAAAACAGCCCAGGGCCCUGGCGCAGAGGCCUGGAGAUGCGACUCACGGUGCAAGUUUUGUUGAGCGGGAGACAGCUGAGGUGUCCCCCACCUCCCCCCCCCCGGGGCCCGGAUAUUGGAUCCUGGUGGCUUCCGAUCAAAGACAAGAGGAGGAGGCCAGGAUGAGCUCUUACCGAAUUUGAACCACAGAGACGCGCACUUCGGCGAUCGCUGGAAAACCACAGGUUUGACAUUCCCUACUGGCUAGUCAAUGGGAGCAGGGCGCCGUUAUUAACUUUUAAUAAGAAUAGAGUACAGAAAGCCUUGCUGCUUCGGAAGCUGAACAAGGCAGGUUAACGAAAGUUCUGGUAAGCCUUUGUUAGCCCGCGGUCAGGCCAGGGUGAGCCUUUGUUAGCCCGCGGUCAGGCCAGGGUGAGCCUUUGUUAGCCCGCGGUCAGGCCAGGGUGAGCCGUGUUAGCCCGGGGUCAGGCCAGGGUGAGCCUUUGUUAGCCCAGGCCGGUGAGCCUUUGUUAGCCCGGGGUCCCAGGGUGAGCCUUUGUUAGCCCGGGGUCAGGCCAGGAUGAGCCUUUGUUAGCCCGGGGUCAGGCCAGGGUGAGCCUUUGUUAGCCCGGGGUCAGGCCAGGGUGAGCCUUUGUUAGCCCGGGGUCAGGCCAGGGUGAGCCUUUGUUAGCCCGCGGUCAGGUCAGGGUGAGCCUUUGUUAGCCCGCGGUCAGGCCAGGGUGAGCCGUGUUAGCCCGGGGUCAGGUCAGGGUGAGCCUUUGUUAGCCCGGGGUCAGGCCAGGGUGAGCCGUGUUAGCCCGGGGUCAGGCCAGGGUGAGCCGUGUUAGCCCGGGGUCAGGCCAGGGUGAGCCGUGUUAGCCCGGGGUCAGGCCAGGGUGAGCCGUGUUAGCCCGGGGUCAGGCCAGGGUGAGCCGUGUUAGCCCGGGGUCAGGCCAGGGUGAGCCGUGUUAGCCCGGGGUCAGGCCAGGGUGAGCCGUGUUAGCCCGGGGUCAGGCCAGGGUGAGCCGUGUUAGCCCGGGGUCAGGCCAGGGUGAGCCGUGUUAGCCCGGGGUCAGGCCAGGGUGAGCCGUGUUAGCCCGCGCGGUCAGGCCAGGCUGACCUGUGUUAGCCUGCGGUCAGGCCUGGGUGAGCCGUGUUAGCCCGCGGUCGGGCCAGGGUGAGCCGU
rnacentral:lncRNA from 1 species